AUACCGGUACUUGACUUCGUGUGUUGUUUUGUCUGUCCAUACCAUAGCCUAGCGACUGUCAUUAUCACAACUCAUGCACUUGCAAGUACAUGUAACAGCUUAGUUGCAUAGUGCGUCGGCAGAAAAGGAGGUGACGCGUCGACGAAGGAUCUGUUGCUUGCAUGCCAUAUUCAUCUCCAUCUAUAUCUCCGAUGAUUCGGCCGGCUCGAUUUUAGUUCCCAACACGCCGAGUUCCGUUGGUAGAAUUGUGGACUGUACUAGUCUGUAGUGGAAUGAUGCUGAGCAGUAUGGACGGUGGAUUCUACUUGCUAGGAAUCACACCAGACUCCACACGAUGCUAAUGGCGCUGACGGGUAUUGUUCAAUCAUCGCCCAAGUGCAAAUCCGACUGUCGACGGAUCGCAGUCUCCGACUAACGACUAGUACACAGUCACCAUGGUCACUGUAAAGUAAAAUGCGGAGGUCGUGCCUCAAAACAUCGGUUUUGACAAGCAAGCCCUGGUAUCUACGGAGAUUCGACGUGGCGCCAUGGUGUGUGUGACCUGCUCGAGUUCAUCAGAGAGGGGAGGACCGCACGGAUGUUCAGCCCUAGGCCAGGGUAUAAUGGUUAUCAUGUCAACAAUGGUCAACGUCCACUCAGCAUUGACAACCUGGCCUUACACGCAGCCGACAGCCUGUGUCAACGAGUCAUGUGGGACGUCAGUCCGGUCGCCAUCUGCGUCUACGUGGGUGGACAAAAUACCAAGAUCAGUACGGACUUCAGUAGCGGCGUGUGCACUUUCAUUUAUAAAAAUACGUAGGUGCGAGCAAGACUGAGACUCCAGGAAGCUGCGGACAAGGCUACACAGUAAAAUACUGUUGUAAUCUCCAAGUGGCAGUUACUGAUGGCAACGCUAAAGUUAAUGCGGCAUCCCAACAACCGGGCUGAUACAUCACUCGGUACUGGUGCUGCACACAAUACAUCGGCUGCUCUGGCUGGGCCAUGUUGUUCGCGAAGGACGUAACUCAGCGUCCUACCAAGCACUGGAGAUGGCAAUUAAUACCCGGGACAUCAAGCGCCCACGUGGCCGACCCCAUCUCAGAUGGAUUGACAAUAUUAAAAAUGAUCUAAAGCACGCCAAUAUUGAUAUUUCUGACUGUCAAAAGUUUGAACUGGCUCUAGACAAGAAAAAAUGGCUGAUGCUUGUGGAAAAAUGUGCUGCGUUUGCGUAGUUGUUCUUACUGCGAUACGUUCUAACAAUAAUGAGAUGCCUUUUGUUGGCUCUUCUGCCUGGAUUUCGUUGACAGAUGCGUUAAAGCCCAUGGAUCCUUCCAUGAGUGACAUGCGAACUGUAACUAUUAUUAUUAUUCUGCCAAACCUAAUCACUCCAUUGACUUUUGUAUACAGUGGCUUACCGGUACCUAUAUAUAAUAGGGCUUGAAAGUGCUACGUCACAGCAUAGCAACAAUUUCAAAAAUUCAAAAAUUGGAUCCACUUGGAUCCAGUUUUUGUAUGGAUCCAAGCACAUUU